AGUAAAUAUAUAAGGUAAUCAUUAUUGCAGUGAGUUUUUAUUUUACAUUUGUAAGUUUUUUAUUUUUUUUCAUUAACUCUUAUAAUAUUUACUUGUUUUACAUUUCAUUUAUAAGUCUUCUAUUUCAUUUAUACGAUUCACAUGUUAUUUUACACUCAAUGUUAAUUUACAAGUUUUAUGUUAUAUAUGUCAAUUACAUCUGUAAGUUUAUGUUUUAUUUGCCAAUUAUAAAUCAUUAAUUUUAUCACUCUUAUGUUAAUUUACUUAUUUUAUCUUCUAUUUACAAGUAUUAUGUUUUAUUUACUUAAUUUAUAUUUUAUUUUAUACUUAAUGUUAAUUUACAAGUUUUAUGUUAUAUUGAUAAUUUGUUGUUUUAUUUACCAAUGAUAUAUCAAUUUACCACUCCUAUGUUUAUUUACUUGUUUUAUCUUUCAUUUAUAAGUUUUAUGUUCCAUUUACAUUAUUUAUGUUUUAUUUUACACUUAAUAUUGAUUUACAAGUUUUAUGUUAAAUUUACAUGUCUUAUAUUUCAUUGCACAAUUUUUAUUUUAUGGUAUUGAUGCUGUAAUUUUAAUCACGGUGUUAUAGAAUGAUCUAUUUAAUUAUUUUACCUUAUAACAUAAAUAAAAGAAUUGUCCAAAACGUAUGGUUUUGCAUCAUAAGUUUAAACAAUUAACAAGGAUUUAAUUAAUGUUUUACUUAAAUUUCUUCUUUACUUGAAAUUAUUAAAAAGAAUAUGAAUUUUUUAUAAUUUUUUAUUUUAAAAUAGGGUCGAUUUACAAAUUGGAGGGUUAGAAAUAUCACCACCAUUUUAAAUUAUUAAUUACAUAUAUAUAUAUAUGUAAAUGUAGGGUCUUGACGAGUGAAAAUUCAAAAUAGACGUUCAAUAGAUUCAAUGAUUCUUUCAAAAUAAUAUACGAUAAAAUGAUAAAUGAAUAAAAUAGCCAACACCUAAAUUUAGAUUUAAAUCUUCUAGCCCAAAGGCUACUGGGCCAGAAAAUGCCAUCAUUUGCCCGCGAAGAGCAAACGUCUUGUCGUUUUACUUUUACCGCCAUUUCUCUAAGCUAAAAUAAGUUAUUAAGCUGAAAGCCAGUCCCCCUAUUUUAUAGUUUAUUCUACGAUGGAUUAUAUUUAUAUUAUGAAUCUUUUGUUAAUUAUUAGAUAAAGAUGUAUAUGGAAUUAAGCCUCAAUCAUAAAUUAUUAAAUACUUACGUGGCAUACAUUGGAUAAUUAUCAAAUUCAUAAUGAAAAUAUUACUUCAUAUUAUAAUACUACAAUAAAUGUCUAGCGUCAACUCUUGCUAGCAAUUGUGAUACAAAAUUUAGAUAAUACCAGAUAUGCAAAGUUACGAUAUAAAAUUUGAAUUUCAACUAAUAUAAUAUAUGAUAUAUUAUAUGACGGACGAUAUUAUUAUAAACAGACAUACAUCAAGAUGUACUUAUCUAAUCAUUUCGUUCUAUCAUAAUAUAAUAUACCUAUAUAAGUGCGGAGUAUAUAUAUUACUCUAAAAUAAUUUUGCAUUAUCAAAGAGGAUUUUGUGGAGAAAGAAAAGGAACGUUUUUAGUACCCUUGCCCAACUGAGUAGAUCACCGGCCGAGCCCAAAUCCUUAAUUGAAAAUUCAGUAAAAAGAAUGGCAUCGAAAGCUUAGAAACCAAAAUCAGAAUAAAUUCAUGAUGUGAUCGGAGCAGCACAAGUGACUACUGAAUUGUGUAUUUGUGGAUCUAUCACAUCAUAAACCAAGACUUUUCUCCUUGUAGUUUUCAAAUCUCCAGCCAUAGGUCUAUCUUUGAUGAUGAAAUCAAGUGCCUGAAGGGAAGAGACGAUGAGGCUGAACGCAAAAGUGGGAAUUUUGGCGUUAUGAUAUUAUUAUUCGAAUAAGAUGUUGGCAAAGAUUAAAAAAAAAUUAAAAAAGGUAAUAAAUAACUCAGUUAUUAUUAGUUUUUAUUGCGAAUAAUUCAUUGGACACGGAUACUUUCAUUAAACAAAUUGAUUGAUGGGGGUUAUUUUUACUCUAAAAUUUAGGGGUAGGUAUUUAAUUCGAUUCAAUUCGCUUCAGUUCGGUUCAAGCAAUAAAAAUAAAGUGAUUCAGAAAUCUAUGAACCAAUUAGUUUUUGUUUAAAACUGAACCGAAUCACGGAACCAAAUGAUUAAAAAAAUUAAAAAUAGAAUUUAUGAAAAUAAAAAUUAAAAAUUAAAAACCUUAGCCUAAACUAGAUCAUUAUAGAAAGUUUUUGACUCCUAAUAUGGUUGAAACUUUGACACUAACAUAAAAUUAGUUGCGGCCUUCUUUUAUUUUGGAUAUGACAACAAACCUUAAUCAAUUAGUUCAAUAAAAUGGGUUUGUGGAUGAACUUUCAAAAGGUAGGUCUUCUCAAAUUUAAAUUUAAGUUUAUUUUAAAUAGAUUGCACAAUUUUAAUUUGUUUAAUCAUAUGAUUCAAUAUGAACAAUACUUAGGUAAUGAAGCUAAUAUUUUUAUUUGUUAGUUAAUACAUAUAAUUAUCAAUGUGAUAUUAUACACUCUAUUUUACGUUGUUUAAUUAUUUGUGCAAUAUUAUACACUCUAUUUUACUUUGUUUAAUUAUUUGUGCUUGAUUAAUAGCUCACUUUGAGAGAUAAUGAAAGUAUUGUGGAUAUAGAAGUUAAAGGAUCAAGAAGUGGUGACUAAAAGAGUGCUCAAUGGAAAUGAAACUUUGAUGUGAAGUUUCAUUCAUCCUAAUUUGUAGUGGACUUAUGACUUUAUUAUUUUUUUAUUAUUUUUGGAUUUACGAACUCAAGAUUACUGGUAUAGUGAUAGUAUAUUACUAUUAUGUCAAUUUUUGUAAAAUACAUAGGGUAAAAUUACUCGAACCAAACUAAACUAUAGAACGAAACCAAAUCAAAUUGCGUUAAUUUGAUUCAAUUCAGUUUAGUUCAGUUCAGCUCUAGUAUGUUGGUUCAUGUUUGGUUCACAAAAUCAUGAAUUAAUUAGUUUAGGCUUGAUUCAUUUGAAGUCUAAAUUGAACAAAUCCAAAUAGUGCCCACCCUAACUCCGAAUGACUCUGAAUACUUUAAUUUUAAUAAAAAUAUGUAUUACAAAAACACCUCUCAUAUGAAUUAUUAUUAAUAGCAAUUUAUUGUAAGUCAAUAUCAUAUAAUUACUUUGAACAUCCAUAUAGCUCAGUCAUUAUUCAAUUUAUAAUUUUCAUACCUUAAAUCCUAAUAUUUUAUUUCCAACAUCUUAAUUAAUAUUUAAAUGACAAUGAGGAAAUCAAUUUUGAGAAAAAAUGUUACUAUAAAGUAUGUAUGACACUUUUUAUUUAAAAAAAAUGAAACAAAGAGUACUAUAAGAGAAACUUUUUUUGUCCUCUGGUCCUUCUUCUUCAUCUCCUUCAUCUCUUUUGUCUCCUUCUCCUUCCUCUUUUUUUGGGUAGUAUUUGAGGAAUAUUUUUUAUUAUUAUGUUCCCAUUGCAAGUUAUUUCAGGUGCAAAUUUCAAUGUUGAACAUAAUAAACAAAACUUAAUAACCAAAAUUAUGUUAAAUAAUUUGUUUACAACUUCACUUAAUUAUAUUGUUGUAAGUAUAUGUUAAAUCUCUUAAAAUUCAUGUGCUAAAUAGUUUUAUUAGUGUUGAUGCCGAAAUCCGGAUAAGUUGGUCAGAUCUCAGAUCCCUGCAUCAUCAUUAAAUUUGUUUGGUGGGAAGCUGAUGAUUAGUUAGCACCAUGAGCAGAUUUUCAAUGAGCAGAUGUUCUGUGAGCAGACAACCCAUGAGCAGACAAUCCAUGAGCAGACGAUCCAUGAGCAGACAAUCUAUGAGUAGAUAACCCGUGACCAGACGAUCCAUGAGCAGAUAACCCAUGAACAGACGAUCCAUGAGCAGAUAACCCAUGAGCAGACGAUCCAUGAGCAGACGAUCCAUGAGCAGACGAUCCAUGAGCAGAUAACCCAUGAGCAGACGAUCCAUGAACAGAUAACUCAUACCACAAUUCAUGUGGCUUAAUUAUGAUUGCUUUAAAAAAAAAGUUUUUAAGUAAAUUUAAAGGAAAAGAAUUCAAAAUAAUCAAUCUUAAAGAAAUCAUAGGCGAAAGAGAAAUUUCUCUGUGGUAGAGAGAGAAAAAGGUCCCAUGGGUUCAGUUGCUUAGAGAGAGAGAGA
rnacentral:lncRNA from 1 species